rnacentral:rRNA from 1 species
GACGAACGCUGGCGGCGUGCUUAACACAUGCAAGUCGAACGGAAAGGCCUCUUUCGGGGGGUACUCUAGUGGCGAACGGGUGAGUAACACGUGAGUAACCUGCCCUUGACUUUGGGAUAACUUCAGGAAACUGGGGCUAAUACCGGAUAGGAGCUCCUGCUGCAUGGUGGGGGUUGGAAAGUUUCGGCGGUUGGGGAUGGACUCGCGGCUUAUCAGCUUGUUGGUGGGGUAGUGGCUUACCAAGGCUUUGACGGGUAGCCGGCCUGAGAGGGUGAACGGCCACAUUGGGAAUGAGAUACGGCCCAGAAUCCUACGGGAGGCAGCAGGGGGGAAUAUUGCACAAAGGGUGGAAGCCCGAUGCAGCAACGCCGUGUGCGGGAUGACGGCCCUCGGGUUGGAAAACGCUUUCGAUCAUGACGAAGCUUUGUGUGACGGUAGUGGGUAAAGAAGCACCGGCUAACUACGUG